CCUACGGGAGGCAGCAGUGAGGAAUAUUGGUCAAUGGACGAGAGUCUGAACCAGCCAAGUAGCGUGAAGGAUGACUGCCCUAUGGGUUGUAAACCUCUUUUAUAUGGGAAUAAAAUGUUUCACGUGUGGGAUUUUGUAGGUACCAUAUGAAUAAGGAUCGGCUAACUCCGUGCCAGCAGCCGCGGUAAUACGGAGGAUCCGCGCGUUAUCCGGAUUUAUUGGGUUUAAAGGGUGCGUAGGUGGAUUGUUAAGUCAGUUGUGAAAGUUUGCGGCUCAACCGUAAAAUUGCAGUUGAAACUGGCAGUCUUGAGUACGGUAGAGGUGGGCGGAAUUCGUGGUGUAGCGGUGAAAUGCUUAGAUAUCACGAAGAACUCCGAUUGCGAAGGCAGUUCACUGGACUGCAACUGACACUGAGGCUCGAAAGUGUGGGUAUCAAACAGGAUUAGAUACCCUGGUAGUC
rnacentral:rRNA from 1 species